GGAGCUGCAAGUUCAAAGCCAGGUGUCUGCUUCUGGGCAGUGGAGCCUUCAGCAUCUGGGCAUCACCGAAAACCCAGCAGGCGUGGGAUCUUUCUUCCAAUCCCUCCUCCCCAAGCAGAAAGUGCUGUUACCAGCUGCUGUCAGCAGCCUGCAGGAAGCUGCAAUGAAUCCAGCAGAGGUGUCUGUCAGAAAUGGGAGCGCCAGUCUUCUAUUCAUGAUGUGUUUUGGUGAUAUCUGAACUCUUCAUGUUAAAAAGGUCCACGCAGCUGCCGAGAGCAGCCUUCUGACCAGCUCUGCAGCUCUGCAUCUGCUGCCCAGCUCCCCACUCCCUUACUCACACAGGUCUAGAACUGGUGAUUCCGGAAGGUCAGUGAAUGCUCCCACAGUGCCGAGUCUGCAUUCCUGUCCCCGUUCUGAGAACACAAUUCAUCCCUUCCAUCAACCUUAAAAUCGACCCUGAAACGUGCCUUUAAAGGGAAUCCAGUACACAC